CGCCGCGGUUAUACGAGAGGCCCAAGUUGACAGUCUACGGCGUAAAGAGUGGUUAGAAAGAGCCCGUUACUAAAGCCGAACGCCUUCAAAGCUGUUAUACGCAUCCGAAGGUGAGAAGCCCGUCCACGAAAGUGGCUUUACAACCUUGAACCCACGAAAGCUACGACA
rnacentral:rRNA from 1 species